AUUUUGGGCACUUUUGUGGAAAUAUUUUGUAAAUAAAUCAACAUAAUUAAUUUUGCACUACUAGAAACGAAAACUUGUGGAAUUAUCUGCGGCUCUAAUAUAUUAUUAUAUCGCUUGAUGUGCUGUAUUAUUGGAGAAAGCUGUUUUAAAGAGUGUCGAUUUGUUUUCAACCGUGGCGACUUGUGAGACUUCGGUCGGAGAUAUUUGACAACUUAAAAUGGCGGCCCCUUUUGAACUCAAAAAUCAUUUUAUUGUAUUAAUUUGAUGCUUUUGAGUGUAAAUCCUGCAGUGCAAUCAGUAAUAAUUUACGUUAUGAAAUAAGACUAAAGUGGUUUAAACAUGGAUCACAACUUGAUGACUCUUUAAACUUGGAAGGUGCUAUGGAGAGUAUGGAUUUUGAUAAUUCCGGAGUGGUGGUAAAUCAGGCAGAUAUCACACUGGAGACAAGUGAACAUGAAGGAGAGAUCCCUAUGGAGUUCGAGGAGCAGCAAAUGUUAAUGGACACUGGAAGUGAAGAAAUUAUUGUUACAGAUUUUAUGGGUGAACAGUUCUCACUGCAAGAGUAUUCAGUGCAAGAUGAACAGACAAUUGAUUCAAACGCGGACUGUUGAACUAAAUCAAAUAGGUGCGAUGACCUCACAAUCAGAGACAAUGAUAGAUUUACAACUCGAGGCUGACUCUAUUCCACAAAGCAUCAGGCAAGCAACUGCUGUUCAGCCCAAAUUUGUAUCUGUGAAGGCUCCAGCAUCUGUCCGGACAGUAAAGAAGGCCGAGGCUGCAGCGGUGCCGCGGCAAGUGGCGAUAGCCCCGAAGCCCCCGAAGUUAGUACAGACGCAGAAAGCGACGUUCUCGUCGGGGAAGCAGUACGCGAUCGCGCCCAAGCCUGUGGCGCUCGUCAUGAACAAAAGCUUGAAGAAGGUGUCCUUAACUGGUGUGCAGGAGUCAAGGGAAACUCUGUUAUAAGAACCCCAGUAAACAAACAGUUUGUUAUGCUCCCAACAGACGGCUCUCAGAAAAUAAAACUGAUGUCUGCCAGAACAGGUAACACGCUGCAG